UACGUACGGGCCGGACGGACGGUUAACUUUAAACUAACUAGUCGACGAGUCGGGGGCAGCAUGGUGUAGCAAUACACUGAUGGCGACCGGCAAACGGGUGCGGAACACGUACAGAACCUUCCUUCGAGCGGGGAAUAGCCCAGAGAAAUUUGGAUUAAUACCCCAUAGUAUAUUGGAGUGGCAUCACUUUAGUAUUAAAGAUUUAUCACUUGAAGAUGGCUGUGCGGCUGAUUAGGUAGUUGGCGGGGUAACGGCCCACCAAGCCUGCGAUCAGUAACUGGUGUGAGAGCACGACCAGUCACACGGGCACUGAGACACGGGCCCGACUCCUACGGGAGGCAGCAGUAAGGAAUAUUGGUCAAUGGACGAAAGUCUGAACCAGCCAUGCCGCGUGGAGGAUGAAGGUCCUCUGGAUUGUAAACUUCUUUUAUAUGGGACGAAAAAAGGGCUUUCUAGCUCGUCUGACGGUACCAUAUGAAUAAGUACCGGCUAACUCCGUG
rnacentral:rRNA from 1 species